AACCUGGUUGAUCCUGCCAGUAGUCAUAUGCUUGUCUCGAAGAUUAAGCCAUGCAAGUCUAAGUUCAAACGGAAUUUUGAUACGUGGAAACUGCGAAUGGCUCAUUAAAUCAGUCUUAAUUUGGUCGGAGGAAGCUCUCUGUUUUGGAGAGGUAUACGGAUAACCGUACAAAAGGUAGAGCUAAUACGUGCCGAGAAAGCGGGGUCCGUGAAUUAUCACGGUCGCUGCGGGUUUUAUUAGAAUUACAAGACGACGGCUUUGUACCUUUGGGUGCGGGGUUUGAGUUGAAUCAUGGUAACAAGAAUGGAUUGCGGGUUGUGCUUGCACGGCUGCGAUGUACCGAUGGAAAGUCUGCCCUAUCACCUGUCGACGGUAGGAUAGAGGCCUACCGUGGGGAUAACGGGUAACGGGGGAUUAGAGUUUUAUACCGGAGAGGGCGCCUGAGAGAUGGCGACCACUUCCAAGGAAGGCAGCAGGCGCGCAAAUUACCCAAUGGCGACAUGCCGAGGUAGUGAAGAACAAUAACGAUGGGCGGGUCUUAGAACUUGCCCAAUUGGAAUGAGUUUAAAUUACAACCCUAUUCGAGGAGCAACUGGAGGGCAAGUCUGGUGCCAGCAGCCGCGGUAAUUCCAGCUCCAGUAGUGUAUAUCAAAGUUGUUGCGGUUAAAAAGCUCGUAGUUGGAUUUCCCGGGAAUUUUGGGUGUGGGAUGUGGUCAUUUGAACUGCGGCCAUGCCUUUACCGGUGGUUGUGCUCUCCUUCUGGGGGGGUAGGACGUGUACUUUGAACAAAUUAGAGUGCUCAAGACAGGCGAUUUUAUAAUUGCUGUGAAUAGAUUAGCAUGGAAUAACGGGUAUAAACUCUCUUCUCGGGAUUGUUGUUUUGACGAGGAGGGGGAAUGAUGGAUAGGGACAGGUGUGGGCAUUGAGAUUGUUACGUCAGAGGUGAAAUUCUUAGAUCGUAGCAGGAUUAGCAGACGCGAAAGCAUUUGUCAAGGAUGUUUUCAUUGAUCAAGAACGAAAGUUGGGGGAUCGAAGACGAUUAGAUACCGUCGUAGUCUCAACCAUAAACGAUGCCAGCUAGGGAUUGGAGGGGGCACGAGACUUUCUCACUACUUUUUCAGCACCUUUACGAGAAAUCCAAAGCGUUUGGGUUCCGGGGGAAGUAUGGUCGCAAGGCUGAAACUUUAAGGAAUUGACGGAAGGGCACCACCAGGAGUGGAGCCUGCGGCUUAAUUUGACUCAACACGGGAAAACUUACCAGGCCCAGACAUAAAAAGGAUUGACAGAUUGAAAGCUCUUUCUUGAUCUUAUGGAUGGUGGUGCAUGGCCGUUCUUAGUUCGUGGAGUGAUUUGUCUGCUUGAUUGCGAUAACGGACGAGACCUUGUGUGGAUGUUGCUGGGCCCAAGACACUGUGCUUGGGACCCGGGACCUUCUGCGACUGCUGUAUGUGUUUUAACCAGAGGAAGUUCUAGGCUAAAACAGGUCUGUGAUGCCCUUAGAUGUUCUGGGCCGCACGCGCGCUACAAUGGGAGGGAUAGCGAGCUUGUUGCCGGGGCGUUUUUCGUACUUUUGUUGCGGGGAGUGGCCUGGUGCCUGGUCCGAGAGGGCUGGGGAAACUGGCAAGACCUUCUGUGACUGGGAUUGGUCUUUGUAAUUGUGGGCCAUGAACGAGGAAUUCCUUGUAAACGCACGUCAUCAACGUGCAUUGAAUACGUCCCUGCCCUUUGUACACACCGCCCGUCGCUUCUACCGAUUGGAUGAAUAGGUGAGUGUUUUGGAGGUCUGGCUGUUGUUGGGCAACUGAUCGGGGUUGGGCUGAGGAUGUGCAAAUCUGUUUAUCUAGAGGAAGAAGAAGUCGUAACAAGAGUAUCUGAAGUGAACCUGCAGAAGGAUCAAAA
rnacentral:rRNA from 18 species